CGUAUCACGUUGAUACAAUGGUUCCCACACGAUCACCGAAGUUAAACAAUGUCGUGCCUAGUCAAUACCUAGAUGGGUGACCACUUGGGAAUACCAGAUGCU